GAUGAACGCUAGCGAUAGGCUUAACACAUGCAAGUCGAGGGGCAGCAUGGUCUUAGCUUGCUCAGACUGAUGGCGACCGGCGCACGGGUGCGUAACGCGUAUGCAACUUGCCUCACAGAGGGGGAUAACCCGUCGAAAGACGGACUAAUACCGCGUACACUUGGGAUAGGGCAUCCUGACCCAAGGAAAUGAAAUUCGCUGUGAGAUAGGCAUGCGUCCCAUUAGCUAGUUGGUGAGGUAACGGCUCACCAAGGCGACGAUGGGUAGGGGAACUGAGAGGUUGAACCCCCACACUGGUACUGAGACACGGACCAGACUCCUACGGGAGGCAGCAGUGAGGAAUAUUGGUCAAUGGGCGAGAGCCUGAACCAGCCAAGUCGCGUGAAGGAUGACUGUCUUAUGGAUUGUAAACUCCUUUUAUACGGGAAUAACAAGAGCCACGUGUGGCUCCCUGCAUGUACCGUAUGAAUAAGCAUCGGCUAACUCCGUG
rnacentral:rRNA from 1 species